CAUGCAUACGAUUGAUCAGGUGGUUCCCGAUUCGCUGGAAACGUAUUGACUUCUUCCCAAGAUUCAGAUGCGUUCGUCGUCUCUCGCCUGUGCUCCCGUGACGCCUUGACGAGCCGAAGCCGCCAUGCCGCCGCCUGCGGUUAUAAGCUGCACAUACACCCCUCCCCUCGGGCGAUCAGCCUCGAUAUGCACUGCGCACCACAGCCGGCCGGCCGGCCGGCUCGCGCCAUCCCAAGGAAGUUGUACUGAUCAAUCAUUCAAUCAAGAUUUUACAGAUUACGAUAAGGAAAUGUUGGAUAAUAUUCCUAAUGAGGUGAUAGUUCAACGCUUCCAUGCGAAAAAUCGUCAUGGGCUCGUGGCAUGAAACGGAACUUGAAGGCUAGAAAUCAUGGACAUAUACCCCAAAAAAGGAACGGCAUAUUCAUAUUUCUCAAGUUAUUGUGGUUUAAGUAGUUAGUUUACUUUUACUUUGGCAAUGAACUUGUCAUAAUUAUGCAUGUGAUGACAUUAUCUUACCAGAAAGUAUGUGAUUUUGCUUCUUACACACUA